rnacentral:rRNA from 1 species
GACGAACGCUGGCGGCGUGCUUAACACAUGCAAGUCGAACGAAGUGGGGCACAGGUGAGUAAAACGUGGGUAAACGGCCCUCAUUUUUGGGGUAAGCGUUGGAAACGGGGUCUAAUACCCACAAAAGGGGGAGGGGAUCGUGGCCUAUCAGCUUGUUGGUGGGGUGAUAGCCUAACAAGGCGGUGCCGGGUAGCUGGCCUGAGCGGCUGACCGGCCACAUUGGGACUGUGAAACUGCGCAGACUCGUACGGGAGGCAGCAGUGGGGGCUAUUGCAGAAUGGGCGAUAUACUCAUGCAGCGAGGACGCGUGGGGGAUGAGGGUUUUCGGGUUGUAACCCUCUUUCGCUAGCGAACGGGUAGGUGGAGAAGAAGCGCCGGCUAACUACGUGCCAGCAGCCGCGGUAAUUC